CGGAAGGGGCGAGCGUUGUUCGGAAUCAUUGGGCGUAAAGGGCGCGUAGGUGGUUCUGUAUGUCUACUGUGAAAGCGUACGGCUCAACCGUAUUUUGUCGGUAGAAACUGCAGGACUUGAGGCUGGGAGGGGCUGGUGGAAUUCCCUGUGUAGCGGUGAAAUGCGUAGAGAUGGGGGAGAACACUCGUGGCGAAGGCGGCCAGCUAGACCAGUUCUGACACUGAGGCGCGACAGCGUGGGGAGCAAACAGGAUUAGAUACCCUGGUAGUCCACGCUGUAAACGAUGGGCACUAGGUGCCGGCGGUCUUGAUCCCGUCGGUGCCGGCGCUAACGCAGUAAGUGCCCCGCCUGGGGAGUACGGUCGCAGGGCUG
rnacentral:rRNA from 1 species